GAAGGUCAUUCAGUUAGAGUGACCAAGUUGGGGUUUACUCUGAGGUCUUUCUAACCCAAAGCUACAAUGAAAUACUACUACACUGCCCCCAAAGCUUGUUCACAGGCAUGUCUUGAUGAUGUGGGAGCUGAUCUGGAAGAAGCCAGGGUAUCAGAUUAUCCCCACUGCACCUCGCCUUCCUUCCAGACCUGGCCAUCUGUCGCAGGUGCGAGGCACAGGGCAGGAAGCGUGCCCUCAUCUUGCUGUGGAGGAAUCGGAUACCAUUAAAGAACUAGGGUGAGUUCUUGCAGUUACCAGAGCUGAGGUUCAAGAUGACAUGCAGAGCCGGGAAGUGGAAAAUACCAGGAGGAAUAUGCCUUCUUGGACGACAAUUCUCCACCCCAGUUUCCAAGUCCACUCCGACUUUUUCCUCAGUCUAGACUGGAGAUAUUUACAGCGGGUGAGUGAAACUUUAAUGAAAUGCCCUGUUAAACACAGACCUCAUCAAGCUUGGAUUAUAGGUUCAGCUUGGAGCCCGCCGUUCUCACGGGCGGUGUGGAUGAGCGCAGAAGCCAGCUUCCUGGCUCACGGACAACCGAAAUUCUGAGUUUAUAUAAAGUUCCCGGUCAGAAUAAACAGAAAAUGGCAUUUUUACUUAA